GACGUAGGAGGCGAGCGUUGUCCGGAGUUACUGGGCGUGAAAGGGUGCGCAGGCGGCCCCUUAAGGUGGCGGUGAAAGCUCCUGGCUCAACUGGGAGAGGGCCGUGACGACUGGGGGGCUUUGGAGGCUCGGAGAGGGACGUGGAAUUCCGGGUGGAGCGGUGAAAUGCGUAGAGAUCCGGAAAGAACACCGACUGCGAAGGCAGCGUCC
rnacentral:rRNA from 1 species